UACGACUACAUAUCAGGCAUAUCAAUAAGCGGAGGAAAAGAAACUAACUAGGAUUCCCUCAGUAACGGCGAGUGAAGCGGGAAGAGCUCAAAUUUGAGAUCUUCAAGGUUCUACCUUGACGAAUUGUAGUUUAAAGAAGUGUUUUCUGUUGGAGUUUUGGUAAAAGUUCUUUGGAAUAGGACAUCAUAGAGGGUGAGAAUCCCGUAUUUGACCAUUAUUUCCAGCUUUGUGAUACACUUUCAAAGAGUCGGAUUGUUUGGGAAUGCAGUCCAAAAUGGGUGGUAAAUUUCAUCUAAAGCUAAAUAUUGGCGAGAGACCGAUAGCGAACAAGUACCGUGAGGGAAAGAUGAAAAGAACUUUGAAAAGAGAGUUAAACAGUACGUGAAAUUGUCAAAAGGGAAGCGUUUGACACCAGUGUUGUUUUCUCGAAAAUCAAUUAAAAAGAGUUGGAUUUUGUGUUGUAUUGACCUUAACAGCUUGCUUCACUCUUUUCCAGCUUUUUUUAAUGCACUUUUCGUUUAACAAGUCAACAUCAGUUUCUUUUGUUGUAAAAGGGUCAUUGGAAGGUGGCUUUCUCUUUCGGAGAAAGUGUUUAUAGCCUUUGAUCUCUGCAAUCGGAGAGACUGAGGUCUGCAGCGUAGAUCCUUCGGGGUUAGAUACAUUUGUGCUAAGCUACAGCUUUUCAUAGACAACUUGUUGACUAUGUUUAGUCUUGUGACUUACCCGCUUAUGCUAUUUUACCUACGCUUAGGAUGUUGAGCGCAUGUCUCUCUCU
rnacentral:rRNA from 1 species